CCUACGGGGGGCAGCAGUGGGGAAUAUUGCACAAUGGGGGAAACCCUGAUGCAGCGACGCCGCGUGAGUGAAGAAGUAUUUCGGUAUGUAAAGCUCUAUCAGCAGGGAAGAAAAUGACGGUACCUGAUUAAGAAGCCCCGGCUAACUACGUGCCAGCAGCCGCGGCCAUACGUAGGGGGCAAGCGUUAUCCGGAUUUACUGGGUGUAAAGGGGGCGUAGACGGCAGCACAAGUCUGGAGGGAAAUGCCGGGGCUUAACCCCGGGACUGCGUUGUAAACUGUGCAGCUAGAGUGCAGGAGAGGUAAGUGGAAUUCCUAGUGUAGCGGUGAAAUGCGUAGAUAUUAGGAGGAACACCAGUGGCGAAGGCGGCUUACUGGACUGUAACUGACGUUGAGGCUCGAAAGCGUGGGGAGCAAACAGGAUUAGAUACCCCUGUAGUC
rnacentral:rRNA from 1 species